UAUUGGAAUUGGUGGAGACGUGGGAUAUUGCAUUGGGGGACCAGCCCUCCCGUAUGAACAUGGAACCCAACGGGUCCCACUUAGUCUGGUAUAUCACGAAAACUUUCAUCUUGUUAUCUAUAUAUGUGUACCUAUGUAUGU